GCGCCCGCCCGCCCCUUCUGCCGCCGCUUCCGGUGCCGGGCGGGGCGCGAGGGGGCGGACGGACGGACGGACGGACGGAGCGAUGGGGGUCACCUGUGUGACGCAGGUGCCCGUGCUGGAGGGGAAGAGCGUGCAGCAGACGGUGGAGCUGCUGAGCAAGAAGCUGGAGCUGCUGGGCGCCGAGAAGCACGGGGCGUUCGGCGUGGACUGCGAGACGUACCACACGGCCGCCGCCAUCAGCAGCCAAGGGCAGACGGGCAAGCUGAUGUAUGUGAUGCACAACUCCGAGUAUCCCCUCAGCUGUUUUGCUCUCUUUGAAAAUGGUCCCUGCCUCAUAGCAGAUGCCAACUUUGAUACGCUUAUGGUGAAGCUGAAAGGCUUCUUCCAGAACGCCAAGGCAAACAAGAUAGAGAGCCGGGGCACACGCUACCAGUACUGCGACUUCUUGGUGAAGGUGGGCACCGUUACAAUGGGGCCCAGCGCCCGUGGGAUAUCUGUGGAGGUAAGAAUCAUCUUUAAAGGGUAUGAAAUACAGCUGUGGUUAGGGAAAUCUCAUGCCAGAGGCUUGGCUAGAAAUCUUGAGUCCCCAUCCCUUCUGUGUAUCAAUUGUGUUACUAGGUGCUAGCAGUUUGUACUAGAUGCAUUCAUGUGUGCGGCAGGCAGAGCAUUUAUCUCCUUUUCACAGCAAGGUUUAAUUCAGGCAGGUACUCUAGGGCUCACCUGUGCCUACAGAAAAGCCUGCUGUAAAAGUGUCAAUAGACAAAACCCUGAAGGGAUGCCAUCCAACCAAAAAGCUGCUUAAAGUCCUGACGCACAACACUGGAAGUGCAGUUCAGGUUAAUCAACGUACUGAGGUGGGUAGAACAGUAUUAAAUUACCAGCUGAAGUGAUUUGGGUUUUACUUUCCCAGUCUUGUGCAGACCGUGGCUGGGCUGAGCAGUGCCAAGCGGAGCAGUGCCCUCCUUCUGCAGGUUUGGCUCUAAAGCUGCUCUCUCCUCGUCAGAGAGCUUUGUGCUGCAGAUGUCAGUGCUGCCCCAGGUGUGCUGACCUGGAUUGCUGCACCAUGGGGUGCUGUGUGGGCUCAAAGCAUCUCAUCAGACAGCUUUCGCUCUCUGCUCAGUGCAGUGACUGUUGAUGAGGCUCUUGAGCAUCAGUCAUAACGUAGCAACUGCUGUUGGGUGUCUCGCAGGGCGGAAGCUGGACUGCAGCAAACCUUGAACGCUCUAGAGGGAGAUAUAUCUGUGCAUGUGACCCUUCAUGACAGGACCUAGGAUGUCAAGUGGUGAGGUGGUUGGCUGGAUGCAAGUGUGAGUGCAAGGCUUUCAAGCUACAGACAAGCCUCAGCAGCUCAGAAACAUCUUGGAUUAACAUGAGGAGCUGGGCUGUGCUAGUACAGGAAGGGCAAAGCAGAGCAGGUGAGGCUCCAGACAUGUAGGUGUAUUGGUGCCUAGCAGUCUUUAAGGUAGCUGAGAAUGAGAUGCUGAAAGAUCUUUCAAAAUCUGAACUUAUGUCCUCCUAAACACACAAAUCCUAUUAACUAGUCUUUAAUUAAUAAUGACACAGCAUCUACCCGGGCACAUGUUCCUAGCCAGCAGGGAUGGGAUUGAGAAAUGGCUUGGUUUGGCUUCAUAGGAAUAAACACAGUAGUAGUGUAGUGUUGUAAGGAAUGCUGUUGACCCAGGCUUAAAAAGAAGCUUGUUUUACCCUUAGCUUGGGUUCAGGACCAGAUUUACCUGGCAGUCUGGUUGUUUCUGCUUCGGUUUAGCAGUUUCUUUUCAGGGUUUCCAUUAGGACAUAACCCGUGAUCUGGAACUGCAAGUCCUUAAAUCCUGAGGCUUUUUUCAGUACACACCUGAAGGAUAUCACAGCCACACAAGCUGUUAACAUAGCAACUUGUGGGAAUGAAGUUUAUCACUGGAUUUCCACUGCUGGGGAUUUAAUAUGACCAACAAGGCUGCGGGGUGGAGUACUGCCCCUGUGUGAUAGCCAACGACUGCUGGAACCUGCUGAUGGAGUUCAUGCAGAGCUUCAUGGGGAGCCACACUCCCGGCAUCCCGUCUGUGUUUGGCACCAAGCAUGACAGCAUCUACAGCCCCGCGG